CGCGGAAACUAAGAGAGGUAUAAUGAAGUUAGAGAAGGAAAUAAAGUCGAGAAAAAUGAAUAAGGAGAACUACAGAGGGAGGUGGCACACGAGAUUCAACCAGGAGACUGGAUCUGGGUCCAAUCGUUAAAGAGAAAAAACUGGAAACAGCCUCGGUGGGAGGGACCAUUCCAAGUACUACUGGUGACUGCCUUCGCUGUGAGAUUAGCCGAAAGAGCUACCUGGGUACAUAUCACACAUUGUAAGAGGGCAAAUCACACUAGCACUGUCGGACGAUCACAGGAGAAGGAGAGGAACCGUGACCCAUAUGGAACGGGGGUCAAACUCCUUCUGAAGAUUCCCUAUACCCGACCUUUCCCCAGCUGUGAGCGUUCAUAGAAGUGAAGUGAUGGCUUGGCCUCUGGCUGUUGAUAUGUUCUCGGGGAGAGGGUGGGGCUUCACGUGCGCACUGACCGUCCUGAGCUGUUUUAUUGUGGGGGCCAUAUUCCUGAUUCAACAUGAUCCCCCGGAAAGUGCCAAAGAGGAUAAUUUGACUCAUGUGCUAGAUGAGGGAAAUGGGAUGUUACCUAAGAUUCUCAGAAGGUUACUGAAACAAAAUAGUAAGGAAGUGAGGGUGGAAUUGGGCAAGGAUCUCUCAGUAGAAUUUUGUGUAGAUCAAUUGGGGUCAUUCACCCCUUGGCAGUCUAGAACCAUGGGACUCUAUGGGAAGUAUUUGUGUAAAUCACCAUAUUGAUCGUGGACAGGUCAUAGCUCACACUGAAAGGGAUGGCUACGUAAACCCAUACACUCAAUUUGGGACCAGGUGGAGUAUAGUAAGGGUUGGCGUUUUGGACUGUGUUCCCGAACAGAGGAAGUAUUGUAUAAAGGUGCGAAUUAACAUUAAGGCGGUCAAUACUCAGGAUCUCGGGUUAUGGUAUGUGGGCUUCGACAAGUUUUCAACUGAUACUAUGGUACCGUUCCAGGUGGCAGAAGUUAGAGUUGAUAAAGAGAAUAUGAUUGGCCGAAGUUCAACCAAUCCCUCUAACACAACGGCUAAUCCUAGUGUAAUCAUCCAGGGUAAAGGAGCAGUACGAAUAGUUCAGACCAAGGACCUUAAAGAAGUUAUAGAGGUGGAGACUGGGUUUGGGGAGUCCAACUUAUGGUUGGAAUGGAUUCAAUAUACGGCCAGAUCAGUGGCCAAAGAAGAAUGCUAUGCCUGUGCGAACGCUAAACCACAGUUAACAACUAUCCCUUUCCCACUGAACGGAAUUAAUUCCCCUAAGGGAAUGGCAUGUAUGGUAAAGCUGUUCAUGAAAGCAGGAAUGCCAAAUAAUGAUAGUUGUAUUGAUUUACACUAUUUAUAUCCCCAGGUUCCACUUAAAUCAAGACUUCCUCCCUUUACCGUGACGAGAGGAGAAUAUUACUGUUUGGCCAGAUACAGUACACACGGGAAAUACGUGGGGGAAGUUGGUACCUGCAAUAAGACAGAGAAUAUUACCACUGACGAGACCAUGUCUGAUUUGACAGGCUGGUUGAACUCUGGAGAUUUCAAAAUGUUGAAGGUGGCCAGGGCUGACAUCUGGUGGUUGUGCGGGGGAAUGAGUUUGACUGAUUGGACGGGUUAGGAAUGCCUUUUACACUCAUACAACACCAAGACAUGAAGUUAGCCAAAACGAGAGAGAAGAGAUGCUCCAUCUGGGUCUUUUGACGACAGAGUAUAUAUUGAUAACAUUGGGGUUCCACGAGGUGUGUAAUUAUAGUUAUGGUAAUCAACAGCGCUUUAGCAGGAAUACCAAAGGUGUUAUUAAAGGUUUUGUAGAACAGACUGAAGCAACCAGCUGGAAGACCUGACAGAAUAGAAUUGCAUAGGAUAAAAGGAGGAAGUGGGCGUGGUAGUCAGGACCAUGUCUUACAUCCCAGGUAGCACAGCUCCGGACGAAUCAGUGCCCGAAGCCUCAGAUGGUUUGACCACCCUGGCUCACGGGUUGGCAGAAACUCUGGGGUGGAUACUUCUCUGAACUAAAUUGGGUAGACAGUAUUUAUGGAAAAAUGUGGUGUUUUGGGCUGUUUCUACCUGUAUGACUGUUUUAAUUUUAUGCGGCUGUUGUCUAAUUCCCUGUGUGCGAGGCCUUGUUUACAGGACUCUGGAAAGUCAGAUGGUGCGUUAUGGGCCGAUUCCAGAUUCUGACCUGUGGAGGACUGAAGGCAUAUGUCUACAGAGGAAGUGGACGAAUCCAGAUCUGUCAUUUGUGGGGAAUUUAUGUUUGAUGAGAAUAGUGUUGAGAUGAAGGGGAAUUAGAUUGUAAUUUGUUUCAAUGAUUAAACUGUUUUUUGAUAAAGAUUGUAAAAAGAAAAAAAAGAAAGAAUCCUGAAAGAGGAGUUAUGAUUCUGAUGCAGAUUUAAAAACAGUUGGAGUUAAGGUUAGAAUUGAUUAAUGAAAUGUGGAGAGUUGGAUAAACAUUUAUAAUUGAUUUGUUGAUUAUUUGUCUAUUCAUAUGAUAAUCUGAUAAACCUCUAUAAAAGGUUAGUUAAGUUCGUUUAUACUUUCAUUUUUAUGAUUAAAUAAAACUAGAUGUAGAAUUGAAUGUAUAAUAUUUGAUCAAAGGGAGGAUUGUUAGAGGAAAAUAUAGUUUAGAUGAUCAAUUGUAUACAUUAAUGAUUAGAACCAUUUAUGCUAAUACUAUUAUGUUAUGAUUUGAAAAGUAUGGGUUCUUAAUUGUACUGUUACUGAAAAUGUAAGCAGAAAUGAAUUGUGUCUGUGUCUCCUGGGAAAGUUUAAGAAGGAGGGAUAAGAUAGUUUUUCAAACAGAUAAGAAUGUUUUGGUUGGAUUCCAUUAGGGGAGAUAAGUUAUCCUUUAGACAGGUUGGAAUGUAGUUUAUGAGGGGAGUGAAACUAUCUCCAGGUCCGAAUACUACGCCAUUGUAAGGCUGGGAGAGGGUGUGAAACUGAUGACGUCAUUUUAUGUCUUCUUUCUUUAAAAUGUAAUGUUCUUUGUAUUUUGGGUCAGUACUCUCUGGAAUUAAACGCUCUUUAACCUGG